rnacentral:SRP_RNA from 1 species
GCUGGGUGUGGUGACGUGCACCUGUAAUCCCAGCUACUCAGGAGGCUGAGGCAGGAGAAUCGCUUGAACCCAGGAGGCAGAGGUUGCAGUGAGCCGAGAUUGCACCACUGCACUCCAGCCUGGGCAACAGAGUGAGACUCUGUCUCAA